CAAAUUGCCACCUGUACGGAACAGGAGGUUAAAGGUGCUGAUUCUCCAAGGAGGGAGAUUGCUAGUAAAGCGGCUGGAAUGGCGAACCCGAGCACAAGGAGAUGAGAAAUGAGGACAAAUUGCCACCUGUACGGAACAGGAGGUUAAAGGUGCUGAUUCUCCAAGGAGGGAGAUUGCUAGUAAAGCGGCUGGAAUGGCGAACCCGAGCACAAGGAGAUGAGAAAUGAG